AUUGAACGCUGGCGGCAUGCUUUACACAUGCAAGUCGAGCGGCAGCGCGGGGGGCAACCUGGUGGCGAGUGGCGAACGGGUGAGUAAUGCAUCGGAACGUGCCAUUGAGUGGGGGAUAACGUAGCGAAAGUUGCGCUAAUACCGCAUAUUCUGUGAGCAGGAAAGCAGGGGACCGCAAGGCCUUGCGCUCUUUGAGCGGCCGAUGUCAGAUUAGCUAGUUGGUGAGGUAACGGCUUACCAAGGCGACGAUCUGUAGCGGGUCUGAGAGGAUGAUCCGCCACACUGGAACUGAGACACGGUCCAGACUCCUACGAGAGGCAGCAGUGGGGAAUUUUGGACAAUGGGCGCAAGCCUGAUCCAGCCAUGCCGCGUGAGUGAAGAAGGCC
rnacentral:rRNA from 1 species